rnacentral:lncRNA from 1 species
CACAUUUCCAUUUGUGAGAAAUGUAUUGCUUUAGCCAUGAAUUCUUUUCUCUGAGCUACAUCGUAUGUUGGUUUUCCCCCAAUUUUUUUUUCUUUUUUAAAAAAAUAAUUUUGGGGGUUUCUAUCAUGUUAGGAGAAAAUGGAGAUCAAAAGACUUGCACAUUGUCUUGAAAUUCAAUUACUAGGUUUUGUUGUUGUUGUUGUUUUAUUUUUUUAAACACUGAAUCUUGGAGUCAGGGCAUCUGAGUUCCUCUUUGUUGUUGCCUCUUUUGCAAAAAGAGAAAUGAAAACAAGCCCUUGGAAGACCCUGGGCCCCAGAGCAUGGAAAAAUUUAUUGUCAUGCAGGAUGCAUGAAGGGCUUCAGAAGUUUGAGAUGAGAACAGGAAUUCGAGUGGCCUCAAAAAUACUCUACUUUCAGGAGGACACUUGGAUUCAACUGGGAGGCAAAGGCUGUUUUAAACAAUGAGGGCAACCUUUCUCUCUUGCUACCAGUGAGAUGUCAGAACUGGUCCUUACCGUGGGGGAGGGGAAAAUAAAAGACAGAGAAAUUCCCUCCGCAAGGACCCAGUGUUAAAAUGCUGAGCUGCAAUUAUACUUCAAGGAGAUGCCCAGCUGGAAGUAUUUGAAAGGAUUUUGACACCCAGUGGAAAACUCCAGAAGGGGUCCUGGGGUUAGAGGUCGUGUAUGUAGCCUUAACGGCUACCUAGGACAGAGUUGUUUUUCUAUCAGCACUUGACAGGUGAGUCGUGGACAUCACAUCUGCCUCCUGAGGGAGCUGACAAAAUGUCAGGGCUCCACGCCCAGCUCAGCUUAGCAUCACUCACUGCAGGCCCUUGUACAAACAGUUUCCAGUCACCAGGCCCUUUCUUUCCAUUCAGCCUUUUUUAAAGUUAAACAAAGUCACUGGCCAUCACGAAGAAAAUAUUUAAAGCAUUAUAUGGAAAAAAGGGAGUGCAAAAUGGGACUGUACUUUGCUGUGUUUGGAUUAUAAACAAAUAUUCACACCUGUGUUAGGCCUCCGGCUGAUGAAGCACCUAGCCAACUAUUUGAAACAAACACUGUUUCAUACUUUUCAUAACUCCAAGUCAUUUUAGCAUAUAUUGCCAAGACUGCAAAUUAAAACACGAAGAAGAGAAAGACCAGUGUAUUCUGUGGGUGAUUAACCAUGGGAGAAAAAUUGCUAAAUUGGUGGAACCUCACCACCAAUCUGUGAUAUAUUCCAUUUCUGCAUUCAACAGUCUUGCUGGAGGUGGAAUAUCUUUAAAGUAGCAUUUAAAGAAUUGAUGGUGUUGAUACAUUUCUCCAACACAUAAAGUAAAAAUUAGUGGAUACCUUUCACCACAACAUUCAUGCCAAGCAUUAAAAUCAGAACAAAAAUCAAAGUCAGGAAAACUAGCAUGAUCAAUUUAGUAAAAAAUGUGGUCAGGUCAGCCUCACUAAGGGCAGUUUCUUGUUUUUAACUAUGAUCAGCCCAGUAGCAUAGUAACUCCAUAGUACCCAAAUAUUGAUUGGGUUUCCAACACUCCAAAGUUGGCUGACUACAUAGAGACAGCUCCUAUCAACAAACGAAUGAGGCCUUUGCUGCUUCAUUCUGUGCAGUUAAGUGCAUCUUCUUAAGAGAUCUUCAGAGGUAAUUACCUGGUUAUUUUUAGAGCCAUGGGGAGCACUGUUCCCUUGUUCAUUUCCCUCACAGAUCUGUGUAAAGUUAUUUGCUGGAUUUGACUUUCUGGAAUUCAGGGUUGGCUCAGGGACCAAGUGAACCACUUAAUAGUUGCCAACUGGUAGCCGGACACUGUAGUAGACACAGCCAACGAGGUUCCUUGCGUGAUGGCUGAGCUCCGUGGGUGGUCCUCGUGUUCACACAACUGACUUGCCCUUUAGAGACCCCAAGCAGCCCCAGAAGCCACUGGAAUUUUUGAUGAAUGUUGAAAAAAAUAUAUAUGGAGAGCCAUUUUCUUAGAUGAAGGCUGGUAGAUUUGUAUUCAACUUUUAGGCUGAAAAUGAGCCCCGGCCAUGGGUUUUCCUUCUCCUUGUAGACACUGGGUAUGCAUGGUUACCAAUCACAAAGCCAUCUCGUGAUUGGUCCUGAAGGGUAUUUUCAUUUUGUUUGAAAUGGCUGGAAUAUUUAUGGAGGGAGGACUGUGUGCUGGAGGAGAAAUGAGGCCACACUCAGAAAUGAAUGAAGCGGGGAUCCUGGCCUGAGGAGGGUUUUCUUCUGUCAGGGAGAUGAAUCAGACACAGGUGAUUUUUCACACCAGAAAGAGCUGUGGAAGUUCUAAAGAGGGUGAUGCCUUUCUUUGAGGCUAGCAGAAAGGAAGUUGAUUGAGAAGAGAGAUUAGAGUUUCUCAACCUUGGCACUCUUGAUAUUUUGGACGGGAUAAUUAUUAUUUGUUUUUGGGGGGCUGUCCUUUGGGUUGUAAGACAUUGAACAGCAUCCCUGGCCUUGACUCACCAGAUUCCUGUAGCACAGACACACACAGACUCCCGCUGUGACAAUCAAAAGUGUCUCCAGACAUUGCCAAAUGUCCCCUGAAGGGGAUAGUCACCCCUGAUUGAGAAGGGCUAGUCUAAGGUACUGUUUCUGAGACUUAGACCAAGGGUUAAUUGCAUCAGAAUCACCUAGUUGCUUGUUAAAAACACCAUUUCCUAGGCUCCCCCGCUGCCCACUGUCCCCCCCCCUCCCCCCAGCGGCCCCUGAUGAAUCAAUCCAUGUCUAUAAGUAGGUCCCAGAAGUCUGGCUUUUAGCAAGUUUCUCAAUUGAGCAUAGCAGUAAAGCUGGCUGCAGGCAUAUGAGUUUUACCUGUUCAGUAAAGUUAUCUUUCUGAUCAAAGAACAGAGUAUCACUAAUGCUCUAAGGGAAGUUCUUGAGAACUUGAAGUAAGGUACUCUCAUAGAUUUGAUUCAGGCCUGACUUCCCUAUAUUGAAUUUUUUUUUUAUGUCAAGCUAUGCUGAAAGGAAGUUCUCCGUCUUGACUACAUAUUAGAAUCACUCAAGGAGCUUUGAAAAUUAUGGAUGCCUGAGCUCCACCUCCCAGAGCGUCUGAUUUGAUUCAACCGGGUGUGGUCUGGGCAUCAAGAUUUCCUAAAUCUCGCUGGGAGACUCUAGUAUGUUUCCAGUGUUGAAAACCACUCUCCUGGACCAGAUUCUCAAACUUGAAUGUGUUUAAGAAUUACAUGCAGUGCUUAUUAAAAUAUAGAUAUCUGUCCCCCAAUCCCUGCUAGGAACUGAGGUUAAGUAGUACUGAGAUGGCAUCCAGAUAUCUUCAUUUUUAUCAAGCUCAUAACCACACACUGUCACAUAUACUCACACACUGUCACAUAUAGUCACACACAUCCCCACAGACAUACUCAUGCACAUAUAUAAGCUACAGAGCCAUUUUGAGGACUACCAGGUUACAGUACUUGGGUAUUACCUAUUAUGAAAACAGGAAUGAUCUCCCUUUUAUGAAAGCAGAUUGACUCCAGAAGAAGGAGAUGAAGAAGCCUAGAUUCCAUAAUGCGGGAGUCCCAGAUCCUCAAAGUACGAUGAUUCGCCAAAUCAAGAAAUGAGGAUUAGGAAGCAGUCACCCUCGAAAGGAACUAAAUCAUCACCUUGGGAAUUGUGGCCAGUCAUGAGACAUGCAUGAGGAGACUGAAGGGGUACGUGCCUCUCAUUCCUGCUGGAACCUGGAUUCACUCAUCCACGUAUUCAGAAUGUGAGGAGAAACCAUUCUAUACCCAAUCCUCAAGUAGACAUGGAUGAUACAAAGAUUAUUUUAAAAACACAAGUUCCCGCUCUGAAGUGGUCAUCUAAGUCAUCAUAAAUCCCUGAUCAGAAGCUUGCAGAAAACAGAGACACCCCCGAAAGAAGGCAGGGUUGGCCAGCAAGUCCAGAAUAUGUGAGACUUGGAGUCCAAUGAAAUUUUUUUUCAUAUUUUGCAAUGAUAAGCUAAUGAGCCAAAGUAAGCAGGUCAUGGCACCCCCAAAAAGCUUUUCACAGUUUGCUUCUCUUGAGGAGAUUGAUUUUAAAUGUGAUGUUCAGCAUCUACCUCCAGCGAUGGAAAUGAAAGGUGGCAGCCCCAAGAGAGCCAGGAUCAAACACUGGCCUGGCCUUGCUCAUGUGGAUGCUGGGCAUUCCCUAUUCUCCAACAAGACCAGCUCUUUGGAUGCUCACCAAAAAGUCAGCUCCCUCUCCCUCUCCAAAUUUAUUUCACUCAGGCUGGUUGCACCUGAAAUAAUAAACUCUGAGGUUACAUGUCCCAAAUCACCUGUCUUCUCCAUUUCCCUCCCGCCUUGUGGCAGCCCACACUCAGUGUGAGUUCUUUAGAGAGGCAUUUGUAAACUGGGAGCAGUCUGUGUAUCGCAGGCCUGCUAUGGAGAAGUGAUCUAGCCCCUCUGAGUUUCAUUUUCCUCCUCUGUGGAAUAGGACUGAUAGGAUUGUCAAGAGGAUUAAAUUCUCCCCACUCAUCCCCAAUGGGGUAGCUCCUCCUUUUAUUAAGAUUUCAGCUUAAAUAUACUGCCUUCAGAGACCACCCAAUCUCUUUCUAUCAUGUUGCCCUAUUUCAGUUUUCUACAUAGCACUUACUAUCUUUGUUUGUUUGUUCAUAAGCUCAUUGAUUGUCUCAGACUGGAAGCCUUCAGAAAGCAGGAACUCUGUGUAACUUGUUCACUGCUGUAUCUUUAGCAUGGAGAAUAAUGCCUGGCACAUAGUAGGCUCUCAGUAAAUUUUUAUUGACUCAUAUGUGCAAAGGACCUAGUACGGUGCCAGGUACUCAAUAGGUGCUCAAUAAAUGAUAAUCAUAAUUAUUAUUUAUAAUUAUUUUUUGAGACAACACAGGAUUUUGAUUCAGAGAAUCUUACUAUAUUUAUGAAAGCGGUGAUAGGGGCCUCAUGUGAGAGGUGCCAUGACUAAUGAGGCUGGUUACUGAUUGGGGGUCAGGGAGGUGCCAGGGCAAAACAUUUUUGUUGUUAUUUCUAGUACUUCUAGUAUCAAAUUUAAUACAACCUAUGCUGUUUUCUCUAAUGCUACUAAAACACGAUUGCUUAUAAUUUUUAAAUGAAUUCUGUCAUCGACACAAAUGAUGUGCCUAGAGACACAAGCGUGCCCUCUUGAUUUUUCUCUCUUUAUCUAAUUUUCUCCUACUUCACUGAUCUGAGGUUACUGAAAAUUGGCUUGUGUUACUUACUUCAAGCAAUCCAAAACUAACCUUAUUGAUUUUGCUUUCAUCUCACCUUGGGGCAAAGAAUAGACCCAUAAAUCUGAGCAUAAACCAGUAAGAAUUUUUUCCUGAAGAUGAUGUUCAAAAUCAUAUCAUAAACAUACAGUCUUACAAACAGCAUGGUAGAUUUAGGCAGAAGCAGUUAUGUCUGAGGGUUUUGUUUUUUUAACUGCUUUAUAAUUGAAGGGUUUAAAGCAGACAGUUUUAGAGGCUUUUGUGGAAGGCUCUGGGAGUGAUCCAACAUGGAGUGGUAGCCCACAGGAUCUGACAGGGAAUGCCAUUGAUAAAAGUCCAACAUGUCUUACUAUUUCCUUGGGAUAAGAAAGUUGGAACCGAGAUAAUAAUGUGUCAAAAGCCAGAAAAAUUGUGCUCCCUUUCUUCAUCACAAAUGAGUAAAUAUAUCUGAUCAUUAUCAUGGCUUCCAUGGAACAUGUGGUCUGUGUCUCCGUUUCACAGCCAUUGCACUGUAUGUCUAAAGAGGAUGCUUGAGUGAACUGCAUUCUCUGGGUGAUUAGUUGUUUCUACAACUGACAAUUACAGCCAGAGUCAGAAACUUUUAGUGACUACAAAUGUAGUUUUCUUCACAUUUUCUGUUGUUCAGGUCACCCUAUGCCGUGUUCAGGUCUUUUUCAGGAAGGACACUUGGACCAAGCAAAAGAAAUAACAUCAACAACAAUAAUAGUCACAGCUAUUAUUUAUUGAGCACAUACUAUGUGCAAGGCCCUGACUAAAGACAUUACAGAUGUGAUCACACAGUCAAAUCUUCUUCCUCUUUUUUCUCCAAUAGGAGUGUCAGAAGUAGAAUUAAUAAAGAUCCUCUGCCUAGAUGUGUACUUUGUGUAAAGAAGAACCACCUCACAUUCAUAUUAAGAAUAUUUAGUUCAGAACAUUCUCCAAAACAUGCUAGGGACUGGGAAGAUACACAGAUUCAAAGAAUAUUGGAAUAGGCAAGAGGUUUAUGUUCAGAAACAUUCAUGUCACAUUAUUUGUAUGAGCAAAAAUCCAAAGUGGCUAUCAAAUAAGAGAAUGAUUUGGUACAUUAUGGCACAUUUAUGUCUGCAAUACUAUGAACUUAUUAAAAACCAUGUGGAUCAAUACUAAUAGACAGGAAAACAUGCUGAGUGAAACACAAAUAGACAAACACAUGAUCCCUGUUUAUGGAAAUUUGUACACGUAUGGGUAAGGUCAGAGAAACCUUGGGAGA